ACGAACGCUGGCGGCGUGCUUAACACAUGCAAGUCGAACGGAAAGGCCCUGCUUUUGUGGGGUGCUCGAGUGGCGAACGGGUGAGUAACACGUGAGUAACCUGCCCUUGACUUUGGGAUAACUUCAGGAAACUGGGGCUAAUACCGGAUAGGAGCUCCUGCUGCAUGGUGGGGGUUGGAAAGUUUCGGCGGUUGGGGAUGGACUCGCGGCUUAUCAGCUUGUUGGUGGGGUAGUGGCUUACCAAGGCUUUGACGGGUAGCCGGCCUGAGAGGGUGACCGGCCACAUUGGGACUGAGAUACGGCCCAGACUCCUACGGGAGGCAGCAGUGGGGAAUAUUGCACAAUGGGCGGAAGCCUGAUGCAGCAACGCCGCGUGCGGGAUGACGGCCUUCGGGUUGUAAACCGCUUUCGCCUGUGACGAAGCGUGAGUGACGGUAAUGGGUAAAGAAGCACCGGCUAACUACGUGCCAGCAGCCGCGGUGAUACGUAGGGUGCGAGCGUUGUCCGGAUUUAUUGGGCGUAAAGGGCUCGUAGGUGGUUGAUCGCGUCGGAAGUGUAAUCUUGGGGCUUAACCCUGAGCGUGCUUUCGAUACGGGUUGACUUGAGGAAGGUAGGGGAGAAUGGAAUUCCUGGUGGAGCGGUGGAAUGCGCAGAUAUCAGGAGGAACACCAGUGGCGAAGGCGGUUCUCUGGGCCUUUCCUGACGCUGAGGAGCGAAAGCGUGGGGAGCGAACAGGCUUAGAUACCCUGGUAGUCCACGCUGUAAACGGUGGGUACUAGGUGUGGGGUCCAUUCCACGGGUUCCGUGCCGUAGCUAACGCUUUAAGUACCCCGCCUGGGGAGUACGGCCGCAAGGCUAAAACUCAAAGGAAUUGACGGGGCCCCGCACAAGCGGUGGAGCAUGCGGAUUAAUUCGAUGCAACGCGUAGAACCUUACCUGGGUUUGACAUGGAUCGGGAGUGCUCAGAGAUGGGUGUGCCUCUUUUGGGGUCGGUUCACAGGUGGUGCAUGGCUGUCGUCAGCUCGUGUCGUGAGAUGUUGGGUUAAGUCCCGCAACGAGCGCAACCCUUGUUCACUGUUGCCAGCACGUUAUGGUGGGGACUCAGUGGAGACCGCCGGGGUCAACUCGGAGGAAGGUGGGGAUGACGUCAAGUCAUCAUGCCCCUUAUGUCCAGGGCUUCACGCAUGCUACAAUGGCUGGUACAGAGAGUGGCGAGCCUGUGAGGGUGAGCGAAUCUCGGAAAGCCGGUCUCAGUUCGGAUUGGGGUCUGCAACUCGACCUCAUGAAGUCGGAGUCGCUAGUAAUCGCAGAUCAGCAACGCUGCGGUGAAUACGUUCCCGGGGCUUGUACACACCGCCCGUCAAGUCAUGAAAGUUGGUAACACCCGAAGCCGGUGGCCUAACCGUUGUGGGGGAGCCGUCGAAGGUGGGACUGGUGAUUAGGACUAAG
rnacentral:rRNA from 1 species